GACGAACGCUGGCGGCGUGCUUAACACAUGCAAGUCGAACGGAAAGGCCCUGCUUUUGUGGGGUGCUCGAGUGGCGAACGGGUGAGUAACACGUGAGUAACCUGCCCUUGACUUUGGGAUAACUUCAGGAAACUGGGGCUAUUACCGGAUAGGAGCUCCUGCUGCACGGUGGGGGUUGGUAAGUUUCGGCGGUUGGGGAUGGACUCGCGGCUUAUCAGCUUGUUGGUGGGGUAGUGGCUUACCAAGGCUUUGACGGGUAGCCGGCCUGAGAGGGUGACCGGCCACAUUGGGACUGAGAUACGGCCCAGACUCCUACGGGAGGCAGCAGUGGGGAAUAUUGCACAAUGGGCGGAAGCCUGAUGCAGCAACGCCGCGUGCGGGAUGACGGCCUUCGGGUUGUAAACCGCUUUCGCCUGUGACGAAGCGUGAGUGACGGUAAUGGGUAAAGAAGCACCGGCUAACUACGUG
rnacentral:rRNA from 1 species